GGAGGAGGAGGAGGAGGGAGGACGAGUCAAGCGCUGCACUCCAGAAAGCUCAACCUUACCCACUGCUUCUGCUGCGGGAUAGCUGCUCCUCACCACCUCCAACCCUGCCGGUGCACCGCCGGGGCUCCGCGUUUUGCGGUCUCACGCCGGAUACUGUAAAGAUCUGGAGGUGCUGGUCAACAACUGGCUGGAGAUGAGACAGUUUGUGCCCAGGUAGCCAAGAUGUCCAACAGCAUCCUGGUCUGGAUCAAGAAUAGCAGGACCAGGGAAAUGAUUGUAGCCCUGGACUCAGCAGUGUUGCCUGUUGAGUAGAAGAGAAAAUACCCAAUCAAGAUGGCAACUCUGCAGAGUUCAGAAGGCCCUUUGCUGUGAAAAUUCCAGUGCUCUUACAGACAGAGGACAGCAAAGAUCCCUAUCUCUACAAAAGGAAGUGCAAUUGGAUGUACAACACUUUGGAGAAGAAGGAACCAAGACUGGGGGUAGGAUUCUUGAAUAAGCAUAAGUGGGAGAUGCACAGAUGGUAGAAGUUAUCAGAUGUUCUUGUCUUCUCUCUGGGCAUCCCUUGCUAUGUAAGUGUGAUAACAUUUGUUAGAAGGCAUGAUUAAGGCUUUUUAGGCUUCACAGAUGGAAUGUAGCUUAGUGGAGUGUUGUGAAAGAUAGACGAUUCAGACAAGAAAUGGAUUUCAUGAAAGGAAUUACAAAGGAUCAGGUUUAGACAGGUAAACACCUUUAAAACUUAAUGAUUCUAUGAUAGAUGUAAUAACAACCAAAUAUUUGUUUCUGUAAAUAAAAGUUGGGAUGACAUAUUAAAUUGUUUUGAGUAAUUUUACUGAGGUUAGGUUAGAAUUAAAGGUUGGAAAAGACCUUUAAGAUCAUCAUGUCCAGCUAUUCUCUAACUCUGCCAAGUCUAGGGAUAAACCAUGUACCUUAGUACCACAUCUCUCUGGCUUUUAAACACCUCCAGGGGUGGGAAUUCAAACACCUGCCUGGGCAGCCUGUUCCAAUAUUUGAGAACUCUUUCAGCCAAGAAGUUUCUUCUAAGAUCCAACAUAA